AGGAAUGUAGCUCAGGGUAGACCACUUGCCUAGCAUGCAUGAGGCUCUGGGUUCAAUCCCCAGCACUG
rnacentral:tRNA from 1 species